GUCCAUUUGGCUCAGUUGGUAGAACAUGGUGCUUGCAACGCCUGGGUUGUGGGUUCGAUUCCCACGAGGGGCC
rfam:Salmo salar isolate Sally breed double haploid chromosome ssa19, whole genome shotgun sequence.